UACGUAGGGUGCGAGCGUUAAUCGGAAUUACUGGGCGUAAAGCGUGCGCAGGCGGUUCGUUGUGUCUGAUGUGAAAGCCCCGGGCUCAACCUGGGAAUGGCAUUGGAAACUGGCGAGCUAGAGUGUGGCAGAGGGGGUGGAAUUCCGCGGUGUAGCAGUGAAAUGCGUAGAGAUGCGGAGGAACACCGAUGGCCGAAGGGCAGCCCCCUGGGCUAGCACUGACGCUCAGGCACGAAAGCGUGGGGAGCAAACAGG
rnacentral:rRNA from 1 species